CACUGUCACUCCUACGGGGAGGCAGCAGUGGGGAAUAUUGCACAAUGGGCGCAAGCCUGAUGCAGCCAUGCCGCGUGUGUGAAGAAGGCCUUCGGGUUGUAAAGCACUUUCAGUCGUGAGGAAGGCGGGUACGUUAAUAGCGUAUUCGUUUGACGUUAGCGACAGAAGAAAGCACCGGCUAACUCCGUGCCAGCAGCCGCGGUAAUACGGAGGGUGCGAGCGUUAAUCGGAAUUACUGGGCGUAAAGCGCAUGCAGGUGGUUUGUUAAGUCAGAUGUGAAAGCCCGGGGCUCAACCUCGGAAUAGCAUUUGAAACUGGCAGACUAGAGUACUGUAGAGGGGGGUAGGAAUUUCAGGUGUAGCGGUGAAAAUGCGUAGAGAUCUGAAGGAAUACCGGUGGCGAAGGCGGCCCCCUGGACAGAUACUGACACUCAGAUGCGAAAGCGUGGGGAGCAAACAGGAUUAGAUACCCUGGUAG
rnacentral:rRNA from 1 species